rnacentral:rRNA from 1 species
UGAUCGGCUACAGACUACUCCCUAAAGAUAAAGAACGGUUUACGUAGGUCUCGUGCUCGUGGUUAGAAACACGUCGACGAAUGUAGGUCCUUACAUUGGGAUCUGCCAGAAACACGUUGUAGAAGGUGAUACGUCAGCGACUAGAGUGAGGAACCUUAGAGCUUUCAUGACUCUCUAACGCGUGAAGGUUUUCAUUUGUACCAUCCCAGUCAUACCAAAUUGUUUUAUAACACCUAUCCCAGUAGCCAUUUGUUUCAUAAUAAAUUUACUACGUACUGGGAAUAAGAUCAUCCCAGCUAUUAACCUUACAUUGUUUUUUUUAAGCUUUACCUGAGUGGUACUAGUUAAUUUACUAUAAUUGGUGUAGAUACUUGAUUCAAAGAUUGUGAUAGGGUUACUCUUUUAUCAAAUCUCGGUUUUUCUGACCUCGUAACAUCUCAAACCUUUACCAACCAUUAUAUUAAAACUUGUACAAGAAGACGUGAUUACACAUCGUAGUUGAUGGAAGAAGCGUUGUAAAGAGUGAUAGACUUUUGUCUACAAACAAAUGAACUUUUGUAAGAGGACAUUCAAAGAUUUCUUAAUUUACUUGUUGCCUAAGUGGAUACCUCCUACUUCACUACGCAUGAUAAAAGUGUAGAGUUUCGGUGUCCGGGCCUACCAAACAUACGUUAAAAGAUGUUCUUUAUAACCGUAAACCUCCCAGUUUUCCAAUGUGUUCUUCAGACGUUGCACUGUUUGAGCUCCUUUUAUUGUUUCCCCCAUGUUACUGUGGUAUCAUGUGAAUUAAGGUUUCUACGAACGAUUUUAGAUUUCUACUAAAAUGUUCUCUAAUAAAAUGGUUGGGUUUAAGUGAUGGGCUUUGAUUGAAAAACCACUACUAAUCCGUGCAAACACUACCGGGGCUUCAGAAGAAGUCUUUACACACGGACAAGCACGGCACCUACAAGUCGGUUCCGCUUUCCACCAAUGCAAGGACUACAAGAACUAUUAUUGGAAGUCCUUGCCUCACCUUACAUACGUAGCCAUGAUAGGUCCAGUGUUUAGUGAAAUGUGUUUAAGUCCUGCACAUGUACCUACAGUUCUUCUAUGGAUGUACCCUGGGCUUCUAUAAAAACGAAGGCCCCGUGCACUAAAAAAACGAAGGCGCCGUGCAGUAAAAGAGUAAACCCCUCACUCUUCGUGUGUCUAUAAACAAAGGGCUCCACAAAAGUGUACUGAAGGCGAGAGUAGUCCUCCCAACCCAGUUUUAUGGAUUUUCUACUAGUACAUCACGGGGUUACCACGAUGAUCAGGGUGAGGGUGCUAACCAGAUGUAGGUGGCAGGUUGUGGCGGUGAAGGGGGUAUGACCGGAAGGUCAAGACCAGGCGGCGGAGGGAGGUUUAGAUCUCCACGGGUGGAGUGGUAGCUCACGGGGAACGGAGACAGCAGCUCCCGGUGGGAGGAACGACCUCUGUAGGUCUAGGCGGAGAGGUUCCAGCCGCUGAAGGUAUAGGCGGAGGGAGUGGCACGUCUCCACGCGUUAGAAUGAAACCUCUAAGGCUCCUCGUUCUAGUCACUGACGUCUCUUCUAGAACGUGUUUCUGAAGGGUCGCAAUGUAAGUACCUGCAUACGUCAACGUGGUUCUAACCGCGGGUAUGAGACAUCGGUAAAGGGUUCUUGACGUUUUGGGAGGAGUCUGAAACCGCCCAGCACGUGGGUUAACGACAGCAACCCUUCCAAACGGUCUUACUACUCCGGGUACGAAGACGGUCGUUUUACGGUUUCGAGGCGGUGGCGCUCUAUCCUUUGUACGAGUAAUUCUGAUUCAACAACAGUUCUAGCGGAGGCUCACGUUACUGGAUUUCACGAAUCUAGCCGUACCAACAACCCCGAAGCUACUAUUCGAGAACGUUCUAUUCAAAGGAUACGAAUUUUGGGAGCCCGGGCACACCAUUGACGAUAGACUUGACGAAGUCCCUCCUAACGUGACCACUGAGCCUACUACUUAUCUAGAUGAGUACGUUUUCAAGUACCUGCAGUUCUCUUAGCGUAGAUACUUCAAACGUGGUAGGUACUUGACCAGGGUACUCAUCUACAUUAGUAGUAGGUUCAGUAGCCACGUGAGGAGUGUCUACACCAAGAGUAUCGUCAGCGGGUGCUUCCCCGGCUCCAAAAAGUCGGUUCCUAUGAAGAGAACGUUCUCGAAUAGGAGCUGCAGGUCGUUGUUACACCUUUAUUAUUGAACUCCAGCUCCGUGAUCCUCCACUAGCUCUACUGUUGGAAUCAGAAUUACUCGUUCAUAGGAUAGAGCUCCACCGCCUCGAAACCGUACAACGAAGGCUAUCUUACCCGGAGCAGUAAGGCCGUGUGGAAGCGUCCCUGUAAAUACCCCACGUACUGAGCAACUACAGACUGCGCCCUAAAGAUAAAUAACGGUUUACGUAGUUCUCGUGACCGGGUUAGAACCACGUGGACGAAUGUAGGUCCUUGCAUUGGAACCAGUCAGAAACACGUUGUAGAAGGUGAUACGUCAACGAUUAGAGUGAGGAGCCUUAGAGGUUUCAUAACUCUCUAACACGUGAACGUUUUUAUUUGUACCAACCCAGCCAUACCAAAUUGUUUUAUAAUACCUAUCCCAGUAGCCAUUUGUU